rnacentral:lncRNA from 1 species
AGUGAGAGCCAAAAAGAAAAGAACAGAUAAUUAAUCCAAAAAUAAUGAUGUUACAGACAUUGCUAUGCUGUGUAUUUCUGUGGACGUCAUGUAAGUUAAGGAAAAAUAUUUUCUUGUCUUGUUCUAGUUUUCUAUUUUAAAAUUGAUUUUGAUUCCUUUCUACCUUUACAGAUGUUCGCUCACAGACUCCAGUACUAAGUCCUCCAGUUGCAUCUGUUGGUUCUGGACAAAGCUUCACUUUUAAUUGCAUCGUAGGAGUCAAGGAUUCCAGUGGAAUGGCUUUCCUUAAACAAUCAGAGGGUGAAACUCCAAAGCUUAUUUUUGGCAACCAUCACUCACAUCAAUCUCCUAGGUAUGGACCCGGAAUGUCUUCAACCCACUACACUGGCUCAAUAAACAGCGCAGGAACUGAAUAUCAAUUAAUUAUUGCAAAUGCAGAUAUUACAGAUACUUCAUUGUAUUACUGUGCUAAGUGGUAUAAUAGUCUUAAUGGAUGGCACAGUGAUAUAAUGCAUGCCAAAAACCUGUUGAAAAGAAACUAGAGUAGAAAAACAGGAAGCUCUACUGCAAAAUACUAACACAUGCACGCCCUCCCC